CAGGCAUGCUGAAGCCCCGCAGCGGCGCCUGGGAAGCGAAGACGACGUGUUUCAGGCAUGUCUCCCGUCCGCACCUGACACCGUAAACCAACCGGGGCUUGA
rfam:Rhizobium sp. 58 contig9, whole genome shotgun sequence.